rnacentral:ribozyme from 14 species
CUUCAAAAAAAGGAUCAAAAAAUAAGAAAAAGAAAUCCAAGAAAAAAAAGAAAAAAUAAGGACGAUUUAUAAAUAAGAUGAUAUUAUAUGUUAUUCGUAUUUAU